GUGUAACAUGGCAGUGUUAUACCAUGUUAUUUAAUAUAUUCAAUACUAUAUAUUCAGUAUACUGUUAUAAUUAUAAGAGGAAGACCUUAGGCAACCUUCCUCGCAUGAAUAAGCAAAUAUUUAGAGAGAUUAAAGAACCACGGGAAACGCCUAGUACCACAAACCACGCAAACAGGACAUAGUUUUGUGGUUGAUAAACACUGCUGGAACUUGCUUUGACAAACAUAUUGCGUAGAGGAAAUUAGUCAUAGUUACAGAUUUCUUCCUCUAAAAUUUAUUAUAAAAGCUGAGCACAACCUGAGAGGAGAGAGCGGAGAGUGAAGUGAGAAGAGCCAUUUAGGCUAAAAUACUUCAUAAGCCAACAAAGGCUGAAGUAUAUAAUUAAAAGGCUAGAUAAUUAAGCCUCGUCAAGUAAACUGAAGAACAUUGGAAUAUUGUGGAAUAAUUAUUAUUAAAGAAGACGGAAUACAAAGUAUAAAGAAUAAAGAUUCAAAGUUGUGCUCAGCUCAAACAAAUAGAGAGAUAAGUUGAUAUAUUAAGAUUACUAUAUUAUUAUAACAUUAUAGAGACGCUAAUUCAUAUUGUUGAAAGUAAAUAAAAUAUAUAAAAGGUAUAAGGUUUCAUGCUAUUUGUGUUACGGUAGCGUUAAUAUAAUUUGAACCCGAAGCCUAAAGGUUAAAAAUAUACCUAAUUGGAAAAUAUAUUUGACGCAUAAAUAACGCACCAUAACAUAUGUUAAAGUAUACAUAAUCCUUGACUUAAAAACACGAUGAUCUACUCGAGGAAAAUUGGGCAAAGGGGCGAUCUUUGCAGAGAAACUUGACCGUU